UUAAUUCUAGCCACUCUUCAA
rnacentral:piRNA from 1 species